rnacentral:rRNA from 1 species
CCUACGGGAGGCUGCAGUGGGGAAUAUUGCACAAUGGACGCGAGCCUGAACCAGCCAAGUAGCGUGAAGGAUGACUGCCCUACGGGUUGUAACCUUCUUUUAUAAAGGAAUAAAGUGAGGCACGUGUGCCUUUUUGUAUGUACUUUAUGAAUAAGGAUCGGCUAACGCCGUGCCAGCAGCCGCGGUAAUACGGAGGAUCCGAGCGUUAUCCGGAUUUAUUGGGUUUAAAGGGAGCGUAGAUGGGUUGUUGAGUCAGAUGUGAAAGUUUGCGGCUCAACCGUAAAAUUGCAAUUGAUACUGGCAGUCUUGAGUACAGGUGAGGUAGGUGGAAUUCGUGGUGUAGCGGUGAAAUGCUUAGAUAUUACGAAGAACUCCGAUUGCGAAGGCAGCUUACUAAACUGCCAAUGACAUUGAUGCUCGAAAGUGUGGGUAUCAAACAGGAUUAGAUACCCGGGUAGUC